AGUGAACGCUGGCGGUAGGCCUAACACAUGCAAGUCGAACGGCAGCACAGUAAGAGCUUGCCCUUACGGGUGGCGAGUGGCGGACGGGUGAGGAAUACAUCGGAAUCUACUUUUUCUUGGGUGAUAACGUAGGGAAACUUACGCUAAUACCGCAUACGACCUACGGGUGAAAGCAGGGGAUCUUCGGACCUUGCGCGAUUGAAUUAGCCGAUGUCGGAUUAGCUAGUUGGCGGGGUAAAGGCCCACCAAGGCGACGAUCCGUAGCUGGUCUGAGAGGAUGAUCAGCCACACUGGAACUGAGACACGGUCCAGACUCCUACGGGAGGCAGCAGUGGGGAAUAUUGGACAAUGGGCGAAAGCCUGAUCCAGCCAUACCGCGUGGGUGAAGAAGGCCUUCGGGUUGUAAAGCCCUUUUGUUGGGAAAGAAAAGCAGCGGGUUAAUACCCCGCUGUUCUGACGGUACCCAAAGAAUAAGCACCGGCUAACUUCGUG
rnacentral:rRNA from 1 species